CCAAACGAUCGAGCCAGCUUGCUGGUGAAGUGACUGAACGAGGUUCCAGGAAAAGCCACUAAGCUUCAGCUAUACACGACCGUACCGCAAACCGACACUGGUGCGCGAGAUGAGUAUUCUAAGGCGCUUGAGAGAACUCAGGAGAAGGAACUCGGCAAAUUGACACCGUAACUUCGGAAGAAGGUGUGCCCUAUUAGUGUGAAGUGAACAACGGAGCAUGAAUGGGUUGCAAAAAAUCGGUGGCUGCGACUGUUUAUUAAAAACACAGCACUCUGCAAACACGAAAGUGGACGUAUAGGGUGUGACGCCUGCCCGGUGCUGGAAGAUUAAAUGAUGGGGUGCAAGCUCUUGAUUGAAGUCCCAGUAAACGGCGGCCGUAACUAUAACGGUCCUAAGGUAGCGAAAUUCCUUGUCGGGUAAGUUCCGACCUGCACGAAUGGCGUAACGAUGGCCACACUGUCUCCUCCUGAGACUCAGCGAAGUUGAAAUGUUUGUGAUGAUGCAAUCUCCCCGCGGAAAGACGGAAAGACCCCAUGAACCUUUACUGUAGCUUUGUAUUGGACUUUGAACAGAUCUGUGUAGGAUAGGUGGGAGGCUUUGAAGCAGGGUCGCUAGAUCUUGUGGAGCCAACGUUGAAAUACCACCCUGGUGUGUUUGAGGUUCUAACCUAGGUCCAUUAUCUGGAUCGGGGACAGUGCAUGGUAGGCAGUUUGACUGGGGCGGUCUCCUCCCAAAGCGUAACGGAGGAGUUCGAAGGUACGCUAGUUACGGUCGGACAUCGUGACGAUAGUGCAAUGGCAUAAGCGUGCUUAACUGCGAGACUGACAAGUCGAGCAGAUGCGAAAGCAGGACAUAGUGAUCCGGUGGUUCUGUAUGGAAGGGCCAUCGCUCAACGGAUAAAAGGUACUCUGGGGAUAACAGGCUGAUACCGCCCAAGAGUUCAUAUCGACGGCGGUGUUUGGCACCUCGAUGUCGGCUCAUCUCAUCCUGGGGCUGUAGCCGGUCCCAAGGGUAUGGCUGUUCGCCAUUUAAAGAGGAACGUGAGCUGGGUUUAAAACGUCGUGAGACAGUUUGGUCCCUAUCUUCCGUGGGCGCUGCAGAUUUGAGGAAGCCUGCUCCUAGUACGAGAGGACCGGAGUGGACACACCUCUGGUGUAUCGGUUGUCACGCCAGUGGCAUUGCCGAGUAGCUAAGUGUGGAAGAGAUAACCGCUGAAAGCAUCUAAGCGGGAAACUCGUUUCAAGAUGAGAUCUGCCGGGGCCUUGAGCCCCCUGAAGAGUCGUUCAAGACCAGGACGUUGAUAGGUCAGGUGUGGAAGCGCAGUAAUGCGUUAAGCUAACUGAUACUAAUUGCUCGUGCGGCUUGACCGA
rnacentral:rRNA from 1 species